CUUGAUUCGUUAGUUUCGGGACUGCGAGAGGAAUCCACGAAAUCCUUACUUGUGGAUUUUGGUGAAGCUUGGAGAUAGCUUGAUUUUGAGACUUGGACAUUUUCAGUCGAUCCAGCAGGUUGUGCCGCAGCCGAGGAAGUUCCGUGCUGCCAGGAAUUUCAUUAGAGAGCCACAGGUUUCGGCUGCUGCGCCUUCCGCGGAUCAGGA